UCCAGGGAGCAAAGACUGAAUCUGGUCUCAGGCAGGGCGAAGGUUUGUCCGCGCCUCGCUCUCCCUGAGUGGUCAGAAGCGGCCCUGUGAUGGUGAGCAGUCUAAACGCAGAGAUGCGUGCAAUUGCCCGGUGUGAGCAGGUCAGCCCUGGGCUGGUCAGCUCCUCGCUGACUCCCUCCACUGCAGAUCUGGAAGUGUGGGUGCUGUACUGAGACAGGAAUGUCAUCAAGCCGAAGAGCACCUUCUACUAGAGUUCAGGCUGAUGUCCAUGUCUACCUCCUGGGCUCCCACUGACUUGCAUUGACCCGCAGAUUCACCUGCACAGUGGUUUACAGACUCGCCUGCACACAGGAGGACAUCAGGCGCCUUGCUUGCUGCAUGGGGAGAAUCACACAGGAGCCCAAGAGGACACCGGCUCCAGGGCCUGGCGUCCUUCCUGUGGUUCUGGCUGAGUAUCUUGGGCUGGCCUCUCAUGGUGAUGGAGAAGCCUGUAGCAGUUCUGGCCUUCCCACCCUCACAACAAUGGCCAGGGGCCAUAGAAGAUGUGUCCUGUCCCUGAUCACACAGUCAAGCUGACUCUUAGGGAAGCCAGAUGCCACACCGUGAGCAGCUCUGCGGAGAAAUCCAUGCAGCAAGGAACCAAGGCCUCCAGCCAGGAGCUGCGUGACUGGGUGAACUUGUUACCACAACACCAGGGGUUUGGUCCAGGUCCUACUGCUCACCGCAUGGAAAGCUCAUCACUGAGAUGACAAGUAUUGCCAAGAAAGGAUUUAAUCAGGUGCUGCAGCCGAGGAGAUGGGAGCUCAGUCUCAAAUCCAUCCUGCUGACCUACUAAAACCAGGGAUUUGUAUAGCAGGGAAGAAAUGAAACAAUGUGUAAGAAAACAGGAACUAGGGAGGGGCACGGAAGCAAUCAUGAUGAAUGAGGGGGUAGCAUCUCAUUGUCUGAAUGUGGUGAUCUGGUGAGUUUCAGUUCUUUGGUACUUUUCUUGAGAAACCUGAAGUUAGUUUCCUGAGGAAGGAACUCAAGUAAAACAAAUGUAAAUUUCAAGCCAGAAGGGUCAAUUUGUAUGUUUAUCCGAAAAACAGUCUAUGGGACUACUGGGUCAGUUUCAAACUUGGAAGCCACUCUCCAGCCCCAGUUGAGGCUUUAGAGGAAGUCAGUGCCAGGCCACAGCUUGACUGCAACCCCUGGAGAGAAUCUGACCUGGAACCACCCAGCUAGGCCUGGUCUGAGUUUCUGCCCCACCGAAACUGAGAUAAUACAUUUUGUUGCUUUAAGCUCCUAAGUGACAGACAUUUAACCGUCAUGAGGCCAUCUAUAACUGAUAUACAAGUCUACAUGAAAAAUCCCAUAAAUACAGUCAUGCGCUGCAUAAUAACUUUUCAGUCAAUGUUGGACUGCAUCUAUAAUGGUGGUCUAUAAUGUAAUGGAGCUGAAAAACUCCUAUUACCCAGUGAAGAGUAGUUGCUGUAACACUGUAGCACACUGCAUUACUCAGGUGUUUGUGGGGAUGCUGGUAUGAACAAAUCUACUGCAUGGCCAGUUGCAUGAAAGGACAGCACACAUGAUUUAUAUACAGCACAUAAUACUUGGUAGUGAUAAUAAAU